rnacentral:rRNA from 1 species
GACGAACGCUGGCGGCGUGCUUAACACAUGCAAGUCGAACGAUGAAGCCGGAGCUUGCUCUGGUGAAUUAGUGGCGAACGGGUGAGUAACACGUGAGUAACCUGCCCUUGACUCUGGGAUAACUGCGGGAAACCGUAGCUAAUACCGGAUACGACCCUCGGAGGCAUCUCCUGGGGGUGGAAAGAAUUUCGGUCAAGGAUGGACUCGCGGCCUAUCAGCUAGUUGGUGAGGUAAAGGCUCACCAAGGCGACGUCGGGUAGCCGGCCUGAGAGGGUGACCGGCCACACUGGGACUGAGACACGGCCCAGACUCCUACGGGAGGCAGCAGUGGGGAAUAUUGCACAAUGGGCGCAAGCCUGAUGCAGCAACGCCGCGUGAGGGAUGACGGCCUUCGGGUUGUAAACCUCUUUUAGCAGGGAAGAAGCGAAAGUGACGGUACCUGCAGAAAAAGCACCGGCUAACUACGUGCCAGCCGCCGCGGUAA